rnacentral:tRNA from 1 species
GGGCACGUGGCGUAGUGGUAUCGCGUUUGCUUCGCACCAACAUCAGUUCUCUGGUGGCGACGAUUGUAAAAGGUCUCCGGUUCAAUCCCGGACGUGUCCA